GGCCCCAAAAGCCCCCGAGACGUUGGAAAAAAAUAAUAAUAAUAAUAAAUAUAGCUGCAAGCAGCGAUGGCGGGCUCAAGCCACCAAUGCCAUCGCCACCCCGGUGGCAUCAGGUAAACUGUGCCCAGCGGGCACAUGCAUUCACAAUAUCCCUCUGGCAGUGAGGUUUUAAAGGAUAUGGCAGUUAAAGGGUUAAUCCGAAUCAUCUAGACUUUAAAAUCACAUUCACAGAACAAUAUAUAUGUAUAACUUUAGUAACACUUUACAAUAAGAUUCCAUUCAUAAACAUUAUGUUAACAUGAACAAUAUUUAUAUAGCAUUCAUUCACGUCAGUUAAUAUUCCAAACUUAAACAUUAAAACAUUGUUUUAUUGUGAUUUUUUUCCAAGCACAUUUUACCAAUUCCUAACCAUAUAAAUCUUAAUAACUACAAUUAUUUUUUAUUUAAUCAUUUAUGAGUGCUAUACAAUAGUCCAGGAAAGCUGGAAGAGAAAAACUCCUUAUAUUCAUGUGUGCAGAAUUAUUAGGCAUGUUUUCUUUUACAGAUGAAAUGUGCUAAAAUAGACUUUUAACUCAAACUGUAAGGUCGAAAAUUAUGAAAUACCCAUGAGAAAUAUCAAACACAAAUGCAAUACAGAAAUGGAUAAGUUAAGACUUGACCAUUGUACAAAAAAUACUGACUGGGUCAUGAGGUCAGAAAAGAAGAAGAAAAAAGCAGGUCAAGAAGAACUGACAAAAAUAAUUGCAAAAUAAUUAGUAAUUAAUGUGAAGAUUAAUUUUUAGUCAAUUCUGCAAGACAGACUUUUCAGGAAAGGAGGUGGAAUAAAAAUGAGCUCCUAAAUCUUAAUCCUGGAUUCUGGAAGAUAUAUUCCUCAAACCAUCGAACAAGAGGAGGUGGUGCUGGUCCUUCACGAGUCACUCUAAUCUGUUCAUAAAGCCUAUAUAUAAAGUCUUAAUAUAUAGUAUUUCACAAUACUUCAUGGUAUUCUAAUUAAAUCAUUUUUUGGAAUCUUAAGUCUCUCAGAGUCCGACACCGAGUAAUUCUGGAGACUCCAGGAAAGUGGCAGUUCUGUAAAAUGUUGGCGCUGGAGACUAAAUGCACCCUGAUAGUUUCACACCUAAUUCACUUAACACACACACACACACACACACACAUUACCCACAGUGACAGUGGGACUGAGUGACAUCAGAUGUAUGAUAGUUUUUUUUAAUUUUCUAUCAUCCAUACAGUGUUGUAUAGUCAUGAAACUAUGGUCAUGAGACCAGUCAUUCUGAGGAAAUAUGCCUCAGAAUGACUGGUCUUCUAUGUGUACAUUUUUUUUUUUUAAGUGUUUAGAAGCUGCACUUUAAAAAAAUAAAAAGACAUUUACUGGUUCCUUUUUUACUAUUAUUUCAAAAAAUCAUCACGGCAAAACCAUUCAAGCUAUCCAAAAUUCAUUCACACCUAUUCUGUAAGAUUAAUUCUUUAAACAGUGGUAAAAGAGGAUGUGGUGCUGAACCUUCAAGAGUCACUCAAAACGUUAUCUGUCCAUAAAGCCUAUAAAGAAUUAUUCUUAAUAUACAGUUCAAAAUACUUCAGCUUGUUAUUCUAAUUAAGUGAGGGUCAUUUUAUCAGUAAAAUAUAUACAAUUCAUUUUUUUGAAAGAUUUCUAUAAAUGAUUUAAAUCAUACUCGUUUCUACAAUAAUUAUUUAAAAGUAAUCCUAUAGCUCCCUCUGGUGGCCAUUAUAGGUACUAAGAAUUGCAAGCUUGAUUUAUAAGUUAUGAUAGUUUUAAUUUUAUGCUGGCUCUUGAAAGUGAUAAAGCUAUGCAACUUACUGUGCUUCCUUCAAAUGAGGACUUCUACUUAUAUAAAAAAUUAUGAAGAUUUAGAAUGAAAAAUUGUAAAGAUAUAGUAAAAUAACUAUUGUAUUUUUUUAUGUUACUUUAAUAAAUCUCUAUGGCAACACCAUUUAAGCUAUCCUAAACCCAUUCACAAUUUAACAUCUCAGUAUAUAGGCAUAAUGUUGAAAAAGGAGUAUGGAGUAGUAUGAGGAGGAGUAUGAAUUCAUUUGCAGGCUUUAUCAUAA